ACAGCGGUCUGCUCCCACCGGGCGUCCUCGUCCAGCAGCGCGUUGUCCCCGAACCGGUCGCCGUCCGCGAGUACGUCCAGGGCGAUCUCGUCGCCGUAACCGCCCACGGAGGUCUGGCCGACGCGGCCGUGCGCGAUGAGGUGGAUCCGGUCCGCCGCAGCUCCACGCUCGACCAGCGUCUCGCCCGCCCGGAAGUCGCGCUGGACGCACCGGCCGGCGAUGGCGGUCAGCGCGUCGAGGUCCUCGAAGCCACGCAGCAGGGCCAGUUCGCCCAGCUCCUGGGGGAUCACCCGGACCUCGGCGCCGUCCUGGACGAACUCCACCUUGCCGUCCCCGACGGUGUAGGCGAGGCGCCGGUUGACCCGGUAGGCGCCGCCCUUGGUCUCCACCCAGGGGAGCAUCCGCAGCAGCCAGCGGGAGGUGAUCUCCUGCAUCUGCGGGGCGGACUUGGUCGUGGUGGCGAGGUUACGGGCAGCCGCUGUCCCGAGACUGGACUGUUUGG
rnacentral:antisense_RNA from 1 species